rnacentral:rRNA from 1 species
CUAGCGUUGCUCGGAAUUACUGGGCGUAAAGCGCACGUAGGCGGAUUGUUAAGUCGGGGGUGAAAUCCUGGAGCUCAACUCCAGAACUGCCUUCGAUACUGGCGAUCUCGAGUUCGGGAGAGGUGAGUGGAACUGCGAGUGUAGAGGUGAAAUUCGUAGAUAUUCGCAAGAACACCAGUGGCGAAGGCGGCUCACUGGCCCGAUACUGACGCUGAGGUGCGAAAGCGUGGGGAGCAAACAGG